GACGAACGCUGGCGGCAUGCCUAACACAUGCAAGUCUAGGGGUAGCAAUACCACUGGCGCACGGGUGAGUAACACGUAGGUUAUCUGCCCCCAUCACAGACAUAACCCCGGGAAACCGGGGCUAAUAUCUGAUGAGGUCGCGAGAUCAAAGCUUCGGCGGAUGGGGAUGUGCCUGCGGCUGAUUAGCUAGUUGGUGAGGUAAUGGCUCACCAAGGCGACGAUCAGUAGCUGGUCUGAGAGGACGAACAGCCACACUGGAACUGAGACACGGUCCAGACUCCUACGGGAGGCAGCAGUGAGGAAUAUUGGUCAAUGGGAGCAAUCCUGAACCAGCAAUGCCGCGUGUGGGAUGACAGGGGCUUCGCCUUGUAAACCACUGUCGGACGGGAC
rnacentral:rRNA from 1 species